AUGAACGCUAGCGACAGGCCUAACACAUGCAAGUCAGGGGCAGCACAAGGAGCAAUCUGAGGUGGCGACCGGCGCACGGGUGAGUAACACGUAUGCAACCUGCCUGUAAGCGGGGAAUAACCCGUUGAAAGACGGACUAAUACCGCAUAAUACUAAAUUACUGCAUGGUAAUUUAUUUAAACAUUUAUGGCUUACAGAUGGGCAUGCGCAUGAUUAGCUAGUUGGAGAGGUAACGGCUCCCCAAGGCAACGAUCAUUAGGGGUUCUGAGAGGAAGGUCCCCCACACCGGUACUGAGACACGGACCAGACUCCUACGGGAGGCAGCAGUGAGGAAUAUUGGUCAAUGGACGAGAGUCUGAACCAGCCAAGUCGCGUGCAGGAAGAAUGUCCUUAAUGGAUUGUAAACUGCUUUUGCAGGGGAAUAAAGUGCAUCACGUGUGAUGUUUUGUAUGUACUCUGCGAAUAAGGAUCGGCUAACUCCGUGCCAGCAGCGGC
rnacentral:rRNA from 1 species